UAGACACGCUGACCCAUGGGUCUAUUUCACCUUGGACUUUUUCGUGCUGUCUAGCACUCCUGAGUGUCAUCCCACUGAGCCCGCCUCCUGGCAGACACAGGACAGUUGUCAAGCAGAGACACUGAGAGAGAGGUUUAUGUGAUUGGCACCAGGAGUGACCCAUCCCAACAUCCAUCAUCAUCAUCAUUGCAUUCGUUUCUCUCCCUUGGGUUUGCAGCUGUAGGAAAAAAGGACCGAGCUUCUGCCCCAGUGACUGUCUUCGCGGCUGGAGAGAGAGAGAGACAAGGGGCUGAUCCUUGCAGAAGAGCAGAGACACCCACAGUUUUGGGAGGAUGGGAAAAAUCUGGGGAUCACCAGUUGUGCUGCUUCUUGUUUUGAGUGCCCCAGGCAGAGCCGAGAUCCAGCAGCCGGUCUCAGCGGAAGCUUUGGAGGGAGCUGAAUUGAACCUCACCUGCUCUCACCCCUCAGCCAGCAGUGAUGAUAUAUUCUGGUACCGGCAGUUUCCGAACCGAGGACCCGAAUUUAUAGUGACUGGAUUCAGUGCAACCGCUCACAGCCCCGACCCAGAGGGAACUUUGCACAUCUCUAAGGAUAAAGAAAACAGCACCUUCGCCCUGCGUAGGCUGAGGCUGGCAGACGCAGCGGUGUAUUACUGUGCUCGGAGAAACACAGUGGGACAGCCAGGGGCAGCCCCUGUACGAUAAAUCCCCUACUCCAGGGAUGGGUGCUAGUGUGUGUC